CAGCAGCCGCGGUAAUACGUAGGUGGCAAGCGUUGUCCGGAAUUAUUGGGCGUAAAGGGCUCGCAGGCGGUUUCUUAAGUCUGAUGUGAAAGCCCCCGGCUCAACCGGGGAGGGUCAUUGGAAACUGGGAAACUUGAGUGCAGAAGAGGAGAGUGGAAUUCCACGUGUAGCGGUGAAAUGCGUAGAGAUGUGGAGGAACACCAGUGGCGAAGGCGACUCCCUGGUCUGUAACUGACGCUGAGGAGCGAAAGCGUGGGGAGCGAACAGGAUUAGAUACCCCGGUAGUCCCUGUCUCUUAUAC
rnacentral:rRNA from 1 species